rnacentral:rRNA from 1 species
UCGGGAAUUUUGGGCAAUGGGCGAAAGCCUGACCCAGCAACGCCGCGUGAAGGAUGAAGUCUCUCGGGAUGUAAACUUCGUAAGAAUAGGAAGAAUAAAUGACGGUACUAUUUGUAAGGUCCGGCUAACUACGUGCCAGCAGCCGCGGUAAUACGUAGGGACCAAGCGUUGUUCGGAUUUACUGGGCGUAAGGGGCGCGUAGGCGGCGUGGUAAGUCACUUGUGAAAUCUCCGAGCUUAACUCGGAACGGUCAAGUGAUACUGCUGUGCUAGAGUACAGAAGGGGCAAUCGGAAUUCUUGGUGUAGCGGUGAAAUGCGUAGAUAUCAAGAGGAACACCUGAGGUGAAGACGGGUUGCUGGGCUGAUACUGACGCUGAGGCGCGAAAGCUAGGGUAGCAAACGGGAUUAGAUACCCACGUAGUCCCUGAGCGGGCUGGCAAGGCGCAU